AUCUUCCUUUUUUUUUGCCCGACCAUUCGCCUUCUCUUCUGUCUCAUCUCUCUCGCUUAAAAAAACUCAUCCACCUAAAAAAAACCCAUCCACCGAGGUCGAAAAAAGACAUCGACCACAGCUACGGCUUCCUUAUCCCCAUCUCCAACCAAAAGAACCCAACGGCCGAAGAAGAAACCCCACAGGAACACGAAGAACCCAAAGCGGAGAGAUUGAAAGAAAAAGAAGAUGAGGAAAGCGAUAAGGACAAGUUUGACGACGGGAUCGACUUCCCCCUGGGAAUCUUCGCCGUUGAUCUAUUGCUUCGAUGCUGCGAUGCGAGAGUUCAUCCCCACAGUCCAAAUCUCAAAGCGAGAUGCACCCCGACCAGUACUCUUGGUGCCCAGUGGAGCCUGCCGGAGUUCAGGCGUGCCUCUGGCGGCUUCCCUCCAACGUAGCCGUCUUACACGUGUGCCUCGGCGGCCGGGCCGAACAUGAAGGCUUAGUUGUCGUUGUAAAUCCAUCAAACCAGGUCGAGAUUGGAGAAAGCAUUAGCUACCCAUAGAGUCACAUUUGGAGAGGGCUGGCCAUAUCCGGAUGCUCCUGCGACGUCCAUGUCAGCGUCCUCUAUCGCCGGAGUUUUUGAUUUCCUUAUUGAGGCCUCCUCAAAUGUUUUCACCUUUGGGUAUAGUUUUUGUUCUUUCUUGCUUAAUUUAAUUGCUAUUCUGUUAUUCUUUUCACAGACAUCCUCAUACACAAAGAUUUGAGAUAAUUUUAUAUAUUAAUCAAAAUAUUUAUUUGGUCA